CGCGUGUACUGGUCCGGCCGGGCCUUUCCCUCUGUGGAACCCCAUGCCCUUCACUGGGUGUGGCGGGGAAACAGGACUUUUACUGUGAAAAAAUUAGAGUGCUCCAGGCAGGCCUAUGCUCGAAUACAUUAGCAUGGAAUAAUAGAAUAGGACGUGUGGUUCUAUUUUGUUGGUUUCUAGGACCGCCGUAAUGAUUAAUAGGGACAGUCGGGGGCAUCAGUAUUCAAUUGUCAGAGGUGAAAUUCUUGGAUUUAUUGAAGACUAACUACUGCGAAAGCAUUUGCCAAGGAUGUUUUCAUUAAUCAGGAACGAAAGUUAGGGGAUCGAAGACGAUCAGAUACCGUCGUAGUCUUAACCAUAAACUAUGCCGACUAGGGAUCGGACGGUGUUAUAUUUUGACCCGUUCGGCACCUUACGAGAAAUCAAAGUGCUUGGGCUCCAGGGGGGGUAUGGUCGCAAGGCUGAAACUUAAAGAAAUUGACGGAAGGGCACCACCAGGGGUGGAGCCUGCGGCUUAAUUUGACUCAACACGGGGAAACUCACCAGGUCCAGACACAAUGAGGAUUGACAGAUUGAGAGCUCUUUCUUGAUUUUGUGGGUGGUGGUGCAUGGCCGUUCUUAGUUGGUGGAGUGAUUUGUCUGCUUAAUUGCGAUAACGAACGAGACCUUAACCUGCUAAAUAGCCCGUAUUGCUUUGGCAGUACGCUGGCUUCUUAGAGGGACUAUCGG
rnacentral:rRNA from 1 species